AGUGAACGCUGGCGGUAGGCCUAACACAUGCAAGUCGAACGGCAGCACAGUAAGAGCUUGCUCUUACGGGUGGCGAGUGGCGGACGGGUGAGGAAUACAUCGGAAUCUACUUUUUCGUGGGGGAUAACGUAGGGAAACUUACGCUAAUACCGCAUACGACCUACGGGUGAAAGCAGGGGAUCUUCGGACCUUGCGCGAUUGAAUGAGCCGAUGUCGGAUUAGCUAGUUGGCGGGGUAAAGGCCCACCAAGGCGACGAUACGUAGCUGGUCUGAGAGGAUGAUCAGCCACACUGGAACUGAGACACGGUCCAGACUCCUACGGGAGGCAGCAGUGGGGAAUAUUGGACAAUGGGCGCAAGCCUGAUCCAGCCAUACCGCGUGGGUGAAGAAGGCCUUCGGGUUGUAAAGCCCUUUUGUUGGGAAAGAAAAGCAGCAGGUUAAUACCCCGCUGUUCUGACGGUACCCAAAGAAUAAGCACCGGCUAACUUCGU
rnacentral:rRNA from 1 species